rnacentral:lncRNA from 1 species
UUUUGUUUUCAGAAAUAAAUCUCUUUGGAUUAGGACUUUAUUUUAUUUUUAUUUAUUUAUUUAUUAUUUUAGAUUAGGAUUUUAAAUGUUUUAGGGAAAACCGUGUGACAUUUCUCUUAAUGCUGGUGCAGCAUUUUUUUUUUAAAUAAUGAUUUUUAUCUUUUCCAUUAUAGCUGGUUUACAGAGCAUUUUGUAUAUAGGUAAAACCCAGCAUUAUUAUGGAAUUAAGUUAACAGAAAACAUUUAAAAAAAAUUGAGAGCCGCCCAUCUUUUUCUUUAACCAUCAAGGCAUCAUUUUCUUCCAUAAUUGAUAUCAAGCUAGGGAAGUGCUUUGGAGGUGAUUUUGUGAGAAAAUUAGAAACAACUGGAAACCUGUGUUUUGAAUGAAAUUGCUAGGAUCACUUAAAUAUGGAAACUAGUCAGAACCUCUGGUUGUUGUCAUGCUGUCCCUUACAGUGCAAUAAGUAUUGGUAAAAGCCCACAUCAAACUUAUGACAGUAAUAGUGGCUAAACCCUUAGGAUGGCUGUAAUUAAAAAAAAGAAAGAAGGAAAGUAAAUAACAAAUGUUGGCACUGUUAGUGGGAAUGUAAAAUGGUGCAGCCAUAGUAGAAAACGGUUUGGUGGUUUCUCAAAAGAUUAAACAUAGAACUGCCCUAGAACCCAGCAAGUCCAUUCGUAGGUAUAUCCAGAAUUGUGGAGUUCUCUGGUGACCUAGUGGUUAAGGAUCAGCAUUGUCACUGUGGUGGUGCAGAUUUAAUCCCUGGACUGGGAAUUUCCACAUGCUGCCAAAACAGCCAAAACAAAACAAAAAAGACCAUAAAAGAAUUGGGAAGUUCCCAGGCUAGGGGUUGAAUUGGAGCUGUAACUGCUGGCCUACACCACAGCUCAUGAUAGCACUGGAUCCUUAACACACUGAGCGAGGCCAGGAAUCAAAUACCCACGUAUUCAUGGAUGCCAGUUGGGUUCGUUAACCACUGAGCCUUGAUGGGAACUCCAUGGAAUGAAAUUUUAAUAUUUGCUCUAGUAUAGAUGGGCCUUGAAAACAUUAUGCUUUCUGAUAUCAGCCAGACACAGAAGGCAAAUGUAUGAAUCCACCUGCAUGAGGUACCUAGAUAGCCAAAUUCAUGGAGACAGAGAGUAGAAUACCAGAGGCUGGGAGAAGAUGGAAAGAAGGAGUUACUGUUUGUUGGGUACACAGUUUGUGUUGAGGAUGAUGAAAAAGUUUUGGGUAUAGAUAGAGAUGAUGGUUACCCAGCAUCGUGAAUGUGUUUAAUGCCACUGAGUUCUAUACUUAAGAAUGGUAAAAAUGAUAAGUGUUAUUUGUAUUUUACCACAAUUUAAAAAAUUGCUCAGCACUAUUCUAAGUGCUUUACCGGUUUUAAUUCAUUUAGUGAAUAAUGUAGCUGGUGGGGCAAAGGAAGGAGAAUAGGUGUUACUUCCACUUCUCAUUUGGCUACUGAUCUUACAUAAGUACCAUUUCUUGGUUAUAGGGUGUUAUCUGUACAGUUAGUAGUUUGUUAGUAUGUGAAUUGUCAUCUGUUCAAACUUAUGAGUAUUUCAAGUAUUUCACCUGUGAGAUCCAGUUGAAGUCUACUCUGUAGGAGAACAAAGAGUUGUCUGUGUAGGACAUACACUGAAUGUUAUGAUGCAUGUUGAUCCAUAUAAGUACAGCAUCCUCCUCUUCCCUUCCAUUCUCAGUAUAGUUUUGGGAAUGACUUGAAAUAUUGUUGAUCUAGAGCAGUGGUUCUCACUGUGUAGUCUCCAGAGCAGCAACAUGAGCAUGCCUUGGGAACUUGUUUAAAAUGAAAUAUUCAAGUCUUACCUCAGACUUUCUGAAUCAGAAGCUCUAGGGGUGAGAUCCUACAAUAUGUAUUUAAUUUAAUUUAUUUAUUUUUUGGCCACCCCUGUGGCAUGUGAAAGUUCCCAGGCCAGGGAUUGAGCCUGUGCCACAGCAGUGACAAAGCUGGAUCCUUAACCUGCUGCGCCUCGAGAGAACUCCCAACAAUGUGUAUUUUAACAAAGCUCCAAAUGUAUACUCAAGUUUAAGAAUUAGUAGUCAAGGAAAUAACUAGGGUGCUUUUGUGUUGGUCUGGGAACCACCUUGGAAGUGAGCUUAGACACUUAGGCCCACUUUAGGAAGAGAAAGCCUGGAUGUACAAAUAGGCUCUGGACCUCUAAGUCUUGACUGAACUGGAUGAAAGCUGAAGGAAUCAUCGAAUCAUCUGAUUUUAUAUUAGAACUGUGCUGUUCCAAGGGAGGGGAACAAUGAGGCAGAGUUCUAAAAGACUAGCAUUUACUGGGCUUUCUCUGAUGUAAAGACAGAGCAGAGCUCUUAUCUACUUGAGGAAUAGAAAUGAACUGGUGUGUCUGCAAAACAGGGCGUUGAGACACCUGAUGUCCACUGCAGAUGGCAUUCCCUAGAGAGAUGCUUGGCUUCCAAGGGAGUAUUGAAGGGAAGAAGACACAGACUGUUCUGAUAUAGCCAGGAACACCUGCCAACUUUGACAAGGCCAUUCCACAGGGAAGCUUGUGUUACUCCAGUGUCAGUUGCCAUGAGAAUCUGGACAUAGGAGUUACUAGAUUUUACUGUCUGGGUCCUGCCUGGGAGCUGAGCCCAGUUCUAUUUGGAGUUGAAAAUGGGACACUGCACUGAGGAUGGCCAGAUUGCAGGCAGCUUUUCCAGGUUUCAUUCUUUGUAGGUUUGCAAAUGGCUUCUUUGGUACAAUAAGCUGAUCUACUUGUACUAUUUUAUGAGCUUGAAUAGGUUUGUCCUUUAGUUUAUCUGAGAAGCCUGCUUGGGUUUGGAAGUAUUGAUUCAGCAAGUUUGAGAUGGCUGAGAUCUGAAAUGAUUGACAUUGCCUAACUGCAGCCUCUUGGCCAGCCGUAUCCCUUUGAGGGGGUAAUGAAGCUCUAGGUCAUGGUCCCAGUUUCUUGAAUAUGUAACACUCAGGGUUCAGUCACCUAGGGCACAAAUUGGGCUUGGU